rnacentral:rRNA from 1 species
UACGUAGGGUGCGAGCGUUAAUCGGAAUUACUGGGCGUAAAGCGUGGGCAGGCGGUUUUGUAAGCCAGAUGUGAAAUCCCCGGGCUUAACCUGGGAAUGGCAUUUGGGACUGCAAGGCUCGAGUGCGGCAGAGGAGACUGGAAUUCCUGGUGUAGCAGUGAAAUGCGUAGAUAUCAGGAGGAACACCGAUGGCGAAGGCAGGUCUCUGGGCUGACACUGACGCUCAUGCACGAAAGCGUGGGGAGCAAACAGG